UUUUUUUUUUUUUUUUGGUCUUUUUGCCAUUUCUUGGGCCUCUCCCGUGGCAUAUGGAGGUUCCCAGGCUAGGGGGUGAAUUGGAGCUGUAGCUGCCAGCCUACGCCAGAGCCACAGCAACGCGGGACCCGAGCCGCAUCUGCAACCUACACCACAGCCCACGGCAACACAGGAUCGUUAAUCCACUGAGCAAGGGCAGGGACCGAACCCGCAACCUCAUGGUUCCUAGUCGGAUUCGUUAACCACUGUGCCACGACGGGAACUCCCAUAUUUUUUCCUUUUAGCACUUUAAGUAUCUCUUGCCAUUCCCUCCUGGCAUGUAGAGUUUCUGUAGAGAAAUCAGCUGAUAACCUUAAGGGGGUUCCCUUAUAGCUAACAUUUUGCUUUUCUCUUGCUGCCUUUAGGAUCCUCUCUUGAUCAUUAACUUUUGCCAUUUUUAUUAUAACGUGUCUUGGUGUGGGUCUAUUUGGGUUCAACUUGUUUGGGGCCCUCUGUGCCUCCUGCAUCUUGAAAUCAGUAUCCUUUAGAUUUGGGAAGUUUCCAGUGAUAAUUUCUUCAAAUAUAUUUUCCAUCCCCUUAUCUUUUUCUGCUCCUUCUGGAAUUCCUAUUAUGUGUAGAUUGGCCUGCUUUAUAUUAUCCCAUAGGUCUCUUUAUGUUGCUUUCACGUUUUUUCAUUUGGUUUUCUGUCUGCUGUCCUGUUUGGGUGAUUUCCAUUAUUCUAUCUUCCACAUCACUAAUUUGUUCUUCUGCAAAUUUUGUAUCUCUUAGUUCAGUUUUUAUCUCUGCAAAUGAAUUUUCUAGUUUUUCUUGGCUCCUCCUUAUAUUUUCUAGUUCCCUUCUGAUGGCAUCUGCAUUACUGUUCAUAUCUUCUCUUAAUUCCUUCAGUAUUUUCACUAUUUCCCUUUGAACUCCAAGUCUGUCAGACUGCAGAGGUCUGUCUGUUUCAUUGUUGACUACUUUAGGUGAGCUCUGCUGUUGGUUUAACUGGGGGUGCUUUCUCAGCUUCUUCAUCUUGCUUGUUGUUUUCUUUUUCUUGGUGGAGUUGUACUCCCCGUGGCCAGGCAGGGUUUGCCUUGGCACUGCUGUGAAAUGUUUCCAGGGGGCUGGCUUUGUUGGUCGUCUUCUUUGAGACAACAUGGGUUUUCUUGGGGGUGGGCAGGGCUGACAGGGUCUCUCUGAAGCAAAGGAGGACUUCCUGAGGGCAGAUAGGACUGGGAGGUCUGCAUUGCGAUGGAAGCAGAUUUCACACAGCUGGGCAGAGCUUGCUCUGGUGUUACUGGGCUAUUGGGCUCUUCUGGGGGGCUGGUGGUGCUGGUCAGCUGUUCCAGGGGAGUGCAGCACCCCCCAAGGGUGGGAGCAGCCAGCUGGGCUGCUGAGAACCCAAGGGACUCUUCCCCAGGGCAGCAGGGAUUGGCAGGAUCACACGCAAUAGAGGCAGAUUUGCACGGCCAGGCCAAGCUUGUACUAGAUUUUCUGGGCUGCGGGCUUUUUCCCAGGUGCUGGUGGUGCUGGGUGCUGCUCUCCAGAAGGCAGGCAUGCCAGGGCAGGGAAAGCCCCUACAGUGGUCAGCUUCCUGCAAAUGGUGAGGCCAGCCCUCCAGGAUGGCAGGCAGCCUCAGGUCCUGGCACGUGCACACCGGGUAGGGGGAGAGGGGAUGCACUGGGAAGUACAGAUUUCUGAUAGCUGGCAGGCAAGUGAGCUCACUGUGGUGUGCGGAAUAUUCUAUGGUGGCCCACCCCUCCUCCUCUCCCCUGCCCAAUACUGGCACCUUGUCUCUCCUGCAGACCCAGCUCUUCUCCUGGGUUCCCUCUGAUGUGGCUUUCCACCCCCCAGCCCUUAGCAUACUGCUCCCUGUACCUGCAACGCUCAGCUUCCUAAUCUCCCAGGCAGUCUCUGCCCGAGAACUGGACAGACCAGUUCCUGGUCCCCCAAGCAGUCCCAGCACCGCCCACCCCAGCCCAUUCCCAGGGACUAACCUCCAGAGCCGAGGUCUCGGUGCCCAGCCCCCACCCAAGCAUCUCAGUUUUUGGUGACUGUGCCAGUAGUUCAGAUGAUCUGUUUGGUUCUCACUCUGCUCUUCGGAACUCAGACUUACUGCUGCGCUCUUCUCUGAAUCUGAUUCAGCUGAUCUUUCCGUCGAGUAGGUGACUUUCCAGGGUGUGGGAUCCCUUUCUCCUCCACAGUUCCCUUUCGGGAGUGCCCAUCCAGCCCGGAUUCCUCUUCUCUCAAUAUCCUCUUUUCUCUUAUUUUACCCAGUUAUGUCACGAGAUUCUUGCCGUUAUCGGAGUUUAAGUUCUACUGCCAGUGAUUAAUUGCUGAAGUGUGCGAGUUGUUUAACCUGCAGAUGUGUUUUUUUGUGUGUGUUUGUGGGAGAGGCAAGCAUGUCCCCCUAUUCUUCUGCCAUCUUGCCUUCCUCCUCUCUAUAUUAAUUUUAAUGAAGUCCAACUUAGUUUUUUUCUGCCAAGGAUUGUGCUUUUGGUGCUGUAUCUAAAAAACCAUUGCCAAAUCUAAGGUCCCUUAGCUCUAUCUAGAUUAAACACAUCAAUAUUUAUUUAGACAAAAAUAAAUGUAUCUAGACUUAUCACCUAUCUUCUGGAAGUUUUAACCUUUUGUAUUUUACGUUUAGGUCUAUGAUCCCUUUGAGUUAUGUCAGUGUAUUUUUUUUUUAAUUGUUCCCACCUCUUGCUUUAUUGGAACUUUCUGUGAGUUUUCCUUGAGAUUAUGGAUGUCUUGUGUGUUCUAUCACUGAUUUUUAAAAUUUUUUUUUGGCUGUGCCCAUGGUUGUGGAAGUUCCAGUGCCACGGAUCAAACCUGUGCCAUAGCAGCAACCCAAUGUCAAUGAAAAUAAUCAAUAAAUAAUCUAUAAUAGGAAUAGAAAAAAGUUUUCAGCCAAACUGAAGACUAUACCUCAGAAGACAGCCUCUCCAAUAACUCUGAGAAUCUCAAAGAAGCAUAGUUUUCAGCCCAGUUUUGUAUCUUGUCAGAAAGAAGAACAUCAAACAAGUCAGAG
rnacentral:lncRNA from 1 species